CGUGCUGCAGUCCACACAGGAGCCCGGACGCGGGGGUCGUGCUGCCCCUUUGAGAUGGGAGCGCUGCCUGAGUGUCAGGCAGCCCCCGCUUCUGUGUCGUCCCUCCGUUAAUUUCCCUCCAGUUGUGUUCUGUGUGUCCCCAGGACGCUUCAGCUCCGAGUCACUGCUGCUCAAGAGUUCAGUCAGCCACUCAAAGCCUAGCAGGAUAGAGACCUAAAAAAAUCCCAUUCUCGUUUAAGAGAUGGCCAAAAUAGCUCUGUAAUGAACAGUUUUAAGUCAUUAUCCAUACACCUGAAGAAAUCACAGCGGGGCACGUGCAGACCCGGGGCCCCACUCCCAGCUCCCCGUCCCCGGGAGCCCGCGGGUGAGAGGCACAUCCUGGGGAUGUGGCGCUGCUGGGGGCAUAGUCCCCACUGCCAGCCAGCCAGACACCCCGUCCUUCUGGCGGGAAAGGUGUUGGCCCGCGCUGCCGGUGGGCACUGGCUGGGCAUGGAGAGUCGGGCCGGGCGUGUGCUGCCGCGGCUGUCGGGAGCAUCGCCCUGAGCUCAGUCGCGGGCGGCGGCGGUGUCGGGUGCUCGCAGAGCCUCCCAAAGCAGGGUCACUAACAGCCGCCAGGGGGCGCCCUUCUGCCUAAGAUCUUCCCCUCAAGGCUUGGUUUCUCCUCUCCCCUGGCUUCUGCUGUCCGUCCCCUGUCGGCCUUGUAGUCCGACCUUUUGUCUUCGGGAAGCUCUGCCACUAAGGAGGCUAAACGGUUUGAACUUACCUCCGAGCUUAGGAAGGUAGAACGUGUGCCUCGCGCGUCCCACGCUUGCCGCUGCCUGCUGCCCGCGCUGGCUCACCACAGGCAGUCCGAGGAGGGGGCGCAGCGGCCGCGGGUGCGGAGCCCGGGGCAGGGGGGAGCACGUCUCCUCUCACGAGCCGGUCACCAGCACCCUCCGUGAGCCAUGUGUCACACACGAAGCCGCGCAGGCUGCGUGAGCAGGCGUGCGGGCAGGUCCCCCGCAAACCCGGGGUAGUGGUCCGCACAGAGCAUGGCCCGCUUGCCGCCCCUGCAGUCACAGCCCGCGUGUCGUCAGGACAGGGUCGUUGCGAGCGGAGCUGACACUGUUCUUGGCCGACAGGGAGAGAGACACGGCAGCAUCAAGGAGAGGCUGCGCCAGAUGGAGGCCCAACUGGAGGAGAACAAGGUCACCCUGGAGACGAUGGAUAUGUGACCCCAGAUGCAGGAUCUUGGGGGAUGUCACACUUGAGAUUCUGGGCGGGACCCCAGGUUCAGGGUCUGGGAAGGGGUAGUCACCUGGAAAAUGUACACAUGUGGCCAGAGUUAAAAGGUCUGGUGAGGUGGACUCAACCUAGAGCCUAUGGACAUGUGACCCCAGGUCUAGGGUGGGAGACGGGGGUUAACCUGGAAACUGUGGGCAUGUGACCCCAGAAACAUUUUCUGUGAGGGGUGCCACCUAGGAUACUGUGGACAUGUGACCUCAGGGGGACAGUCUAGGAGGAGUUCACCCUGGAGACUGUGGAUGUGUGACCCCAGGUGCAGGGUCUGGGAAGAGGGCUCUCCCUGGAGACUGUGGACGUGUGACCCCAGGUGAAGGGUUUGGGGAGAGGGCUCUCCUUGGAGACUGUGGACGUGUGACUCCAGGUGAGGGGUUUGGGAAGAGGGCUCUCCCUGGAGACUGUGGAUGUGUGACCCCAGGUGAAGGGUUUGGGGAGAGGGCUCUCCUUGGAGACUGUGGACGUGUGACCCCAGGUGAGGGGUUUGGGGAGAGGGCUCUCCCUGGAGACUGUGGACGUGUGACCCCAGGUGAGGGGUUUGGGGAGAGGGCUCUCCCUGGAGACUGUGGACGUGUGACCCUAUGUACAGGGACUGAAUGUGGUCACAUAGGAGAUGCUGGACAUGUGAACCCAGGUCUUCACCCUGGAGACGUGAAUGUGUGACACCAUGUACAGUGUCUGGGAGGGGGUCACCAUGGAGACUGUGGACUUGUAACCACAGUUAUGGGGUCUGGGAGAGGUUCAGCUUGUGGUCUGUGGACCUGUGUCCCAGGUGUAGGGUCUGGGAAGAGGAGUCACCCUGGAGACUGGAUGUGAGAACCCAGGUGCAGGGUCUGAGAGCUGGGGUCACCUUAGGGAGUGUGGAUGUGUGACCACAGGUACAGGGUUGGGAGAUGGGUUCACCCUGGAACCUGGACGAAUGACCCCAAGGCCAUGGCCUGGGAUGUGGGACACCCUGAAGAUUUUGGACGUGUAACCCCAGGUGCAGGGUCUGGGAGGUGUGGUCUCCCUGGAGACUGUGUACUCAUAUCCCAGGUACAGGUUCUGGAAGGGGGGAGUCACCCUGGGGACUGUGGACUUGUGACCCAAGGUGCAGUGUCUGGGAAGAGGCUGACCCUGGAGACUGUGGACAUGUGGCGCCGUGUACAUGGUCUUGCGGGUCACCCUGGAUAUUGCAGACAUUGAAAUCCAGGUGCAGUCUAGGAGGGGUGUGGCCGUGUGACAGAGAGAGAGGGUCUGGGGGGGGGUGACACCCUGGAGACUGCGGACAAGUGACCCUAGGUGCAAGGUCUGGGAGGGGCUAACCCUGGAGACUUGAAUUGGGAGCCCAGGUACUGACUCUGGGAGGCGGGGUCACCCUGGACACUAUGGAUAUGUGACCCCAGGUACAUGGUCUGGGAGGUGGGGUCACUCUGGGUACUGCGGACAUGUGAUCCCAGGUGCAGUUUCUGUGACGUGGUGUCCCCUUGGAGACUGAACAUGUGACCCUAGGUACAGGGUCUGGGAGGUGGGGUCACUCUGAGGACUGUUGACGUUUGAUUCAAAGUGCAUAUUUAGGGGAGGGGGCUCUCCCUAGAGACUGUGGACGUGUGAACCAAGGUGCAUGUUACGGGAGAGGGUCACCAUAGAGACUGUGGACGUGCGAAUCCAGGUAUAGGGUCUAGGACAUGGCGUUAUUCUGCCAACUCUAGCGACAGGUGACCCCAGGUGCAGGGUCGGGUGGGGAUCACCCUGGAGAUGGUGGUCAUGUGAUCCCGGAUGCAUGGUCUAGGAGGGAAUCACCAUGGGACUAUGGAUGUGUGACUCCAGGUUUAGGCUCUGGAAGGUGGGGUUACUACUGUGGAUAUGUGACCCUAGUUGCUCGGUCUGGGGUGUGGAGUUGCCCUGGAGACUGGACGUGUGACUCCAAGCAUAGUGUCUCCAGAGGGGUGUCACCCUAGACACUGUGGAAAUGUGACCCUAGGUCCAGGGUCGAAAGGAGGUCACCCUGGAUACUAUGGACAUAUGACCCCAGGUGCAGGGUCUAGGAAGUGGGAUCACACUGGAGACUUUUGACGUAUGACCCCAGAUGCAGGGUCUGUGAGGUGGAGUCUCCCUGGAGACUGUGUAUAUGUGUCCCCCAGUAAAGGUUCUGGGAGGUGGGCUCAUUUGGGGGACUCUGGGUGUGGGACUUAAAGUGCAGUGUCUGGGGAAGAGGCUGACCCUGGAGACUGGGGACUUGUGACAAUAUGUAUGUAGUUUGGGAGGGGGCAACCCUGGAGACUAUGUACUUAUGACCCCAGGUGUAGGUUUGGGAGGGGUGUCACCUUGAGACUGUGGAUGUGAGAACCCAGGUGCAGGAUCUGAGAGCUGGGGUAACCCUGGAGACUGUGACAUAUGACCCCAGGUGCAUGUUCUGGGAGGUGGGGCCCACCUUGUAGAUUGUGGACAUGUUACCCCAGAUCACAGUCUCCAGAGUGACCCCUCACAGAAACUGUUCCUGGGGUCAUAUGUCCACAGUCCCCAGGUGAACCCACAUCCCAGACCCUGUACCUGAGGCCGUAUGUCCACAGUCUCCAGGGUGAUCCCCUUCCCAGACCCUGCACCUGAGGUAACAUGUCCACAGUGUAAAAGGUGGAACCCACCUCUGCAGACCCUGCAUCUGAGGUCACACUUCCACACUCUUCAGUUACCCAAGCUCACAGACCCUGUACCUGGGGUCACAAGUCUCCAGUCUCCAGAAUGACUCCCCUGCCGAACCUGUACCUGGGGUCACACUUCCACAGU
ensembl:lncRNA